rnacentral:tRNA from 1 species
GGAUGUGGCUCAGUGGUACAGUUCUUGCCUGAUAUGCAUGAGGCCUCAGGUUCAAUUCUUAGCACCA